rnacentral:tRNA from 1 species
AUUAGGUAAGUAUCGGUUCCCAUAUUCAGGGAAUCUAGGUUGAGAAGAAUAAACAUAGUAGGUAAUCCUGAGCCAAAUUUUGUUUACUUUGCAAAAUAGGUGCAGAGACUCAAAGGAACUAUCCAAACAAAAUUUUUUAUUUAUUAAUUAUGAGUUCGUUUUCUAAUGAGAUUUCAUUAUAUUUAAAUAAUAUGAAAUAAGGAUAAAGAUAGAGUCCAUUUUUACACGCUAUAUUUGGCAACGACGCAAGUCAUUGUAAAAAGAAAAUCCGUUGGCUUUUUAGACCGUGAGGGUUCAAGUCCCUCUACCCCCA